GUCUCGGUUAGAGACAGCUUUAUGACCUCUGACCUCAAAUCAGGUAGGACUACCCGCUGAACUUAAGCAUAUCAAUAAGCGGAGGAAAAGAAACUAACAAGGAUUCCCCUAGUAACUGCGAGUGAAGCGGGAAAAGCUCAAAUUUAAAAUCUGGCGGUCUUUGGCCGUCCGAGUUGUAGUCUGGAGAAGUGCUUUCCGCGCUGGACCGU
rnacentral:rRNA from 1 species